rnacentral:rRNA from 1 species
GUGCCAGCCGCCGCGGUAAUACGGAGGAUCCAGGCGUUAUCCGGAUUUAUUGGGUUUAAAGGGUGCGUAGGCGGCUUAUUAAGUCAGGGGUGAAAGACGGUGGCUCAACCAUCGCAGUGCCUUUGAUACUGAUGAGCUUGAAUGUACAUGAGGUAGGCGGAAUGUGACAAGUAGCGGUGAAAUGCAUAGAUAUGUCACAGAACACCGAUUGCGAAGGCAGCUUACUAAAGUAUAAUUGACGCUGAGGCACGAAAGCGUGGGGAUCAAACAGGAUUAGAUACCCCGGUAGUCC